GACGAACGCUGGCGGCGUGCCUAAUACAUGCAAGUAGAACGCUGAAGGAGGAGCUUGCUUCUCCGGAUGAGUUGCGAACGGGUGAGUAACGCGUAGGUAACCUGCCUGGUAGCGGGGGAUAACUAUUGGAAACGAUAGCUAAUACCGCAUAAGAGUAGAUGUCGCAUGACAUUUGCUUAAAAGGUGCAACUGCACCACUACCAGAUGGACCUGCGUUGUAUUAGCUAGUUGGUGAGGUAACGGCUCACCAAGGCAACGAUGCAUAGCCGACCUGAGAGGGUGAUCGGCCACACUGGGACUGAGACACGGCCCAGACUCCUACGGGAGGCAGCAGUAGGGAAUCUUCGGCAAUGGACGGAAGUCUGACCGAGCAACGCCGCGUGAGUGAAGAAGGUUUUCGGAUCGUAAAGCUCUGUUGUAAGAGAAGAACGAGUGUGAGAGUGGAAAGUUCACACUGUGACGGUAUCUUACCAGAAAGGGACGGCUAACUACGUG
rnacentral:rRNA from 1 species